UCAGGCAGCUGCAGCCUCGCGGCCCCCGCCGCAGCCUGGACCUUGGGAACCAGCAGCCCAGAGCCAGGAAGCCUCAGCAUUCAGGGCCGACAGAACCCAAAAUCCCACAUCAGAGGCAGGGAAGGAUGGUGCGAGGAGCAGCCCAGGACCCACACGCCAGGGCCAGCGCCGGUUCCCAGUGGGUGCCUCCUUCCAAGGCUGGAGAGGGAGGCAGAAUGGAGGGCUUCCCAGGUCGGAGCAACCCUACAGGCCGGGCAGGUGGAGGGAAGGGUGCAGGUCACGUUCUGGAGACCUCCCCUCGGCCUGGAACUGGUUUCUCCUCUGCCUCUCCGCCUGUGGGUGUCCCUGUGCUCUGGUAACACCCCAGGCACCAGCUGUGCCCUCACCAAGGUGCCUGCCCGCCCCUUCCUUCUACCAUCCCCAUCAGCGGGGCUGCUUCAGAGCCACGGCCCUUCUGGGGCUACAGGGGAGGAUGCACCCACAGCAUGCUCUGCACUGAGGAGCAGGCAGUGGGUGCUGAUGCCACCUGUCCUGCCGACAGCUCCUCACCCAGCAAGGCUGACCCAGCCCCGGGUGAAAGAGGGGCGACUGAGGUAGAUUGGGGUGAGGCUGCACCUUCACCCAUGCCUGCCCACAGCAUGGCCCCUCCACUUCCUGCACGAGUGCUGGGAACUGCUUUUCAUGGAGCCCCACGGAUAUGACCAGCCCGGUGCUGGGAGAGGACGGCCUGGGUGGUGUGUGUCUGCAGACACGAAGAUCUAGGCACGGGGCCCA